ensembl:snoRNA small nucleolar RNA SNORD11B
AUCAAGCAGUGAUGAUGAUGACAUAAUGUCAAAGCCCUGAAACCUUAAUGUGGGUUUUUAAGUCACUACCUCAUCUGAGCUUGAG